rnacentral:rRNA from 1 species
UACGUAGGGGGCAAGCGUUGUCCGGAAUUACUGGGCGUAAAGCGUUUGUAGGCGGUCAAUCAAGUCAGGGGUGAAAUCCCAGAGCUCAACUCUGGAAUUGCCUUUGAAACUGAUUGGCUAGAGAGUGUUAGAGGUUAGUGGAAUUCCUAAUGUAGGAGUGAAAUCCGUAGAGAUUAGGAGGAAUAUCGAUGGCGAAGGCAGCUAACUGGGACAUUUCUGACGCUGAGAAACGAAAGCGUGGGUAGCAAACAGG